rnacentral:rRNA from 1 species
CCUGAUGCAGCGACGCCGCGUGAGGGAUGACGGCCUUCGGGUUGUAAACCUCUGUUAGCAUCGAAGAAGCGAAAGUGACGGUAGGUGCAGAGAAAGCGCCGGCUAACUACGUGCCAGCAGCCGCGGUAAUACGUAGGGCGCGAGCGUUGUCCGGAAUUAUUGGGCGUAAAGAGCUUGUAGGCGGUUGGUCGCGUCUGCUGUGAAAGGCCGGGGCUUAACUCCGGUUUUGCAGUGGGUACGGGCUAACUAGAGUGCAGUAGGGGAGACUGGAAUUCCUGGUGUAGCGGUGGAAUGCACAGAUAUCAGGAGGAACACCGAUGGCGAAGGCAGGUCUCUGGGCUGUAACUGACGCUGAGAAGCGAAAGCAUGGGGAGCGAACAGGAUUAGAUACCCUGGUAGUCCAUGCCGUAAACGUUGGGCACUAGGUGUGGGGGACAUUCCACGUUUUCCGCGCCGUAGCUAACGCAUUAAGUGCCCCGCCUGGGGAGUACGGCCGCAAGGCUAAAACUCAAAGGAAUGGACGGA